rnacentral:rRNA from 1 species
UACGUAGGGCGCAAGCGUUGUCCGGAAUUACUGGGCGUAAAGGGUUCGUAGGUGGCUUGCUUAGUCAGACGUGAAAUCCCUCGGCUUAACCGGGGAACUGCGUCUGAUACUGGCGAGCUUGAGUGCAGGAGAGGAACGCGGAAUUCCAGGUGUAGCGGUGAAAUGCGUAGAUAUCUGGAGGAACACCGGUGGCGAAGGCGGCGUUCUGGACUGGCAACUGACACUGAUGAACGAAAGCCAGGGGAGCAAACGGG